GAUGAACGCUAGCGAUAGGCUUAACACAUGCAAGUCGAGGGGCAGCAUGGUCCUAGCUUGCUAAGACUGAUGGCGACCGGCGCACGGGUGCGUAACGCGUAUGCAACUUGCCUCACAGAGGGGGAUAACCCGUCGAAAGACGGACUAAUACCGCGUACACUUGGGAUAGGGCAUCCUGACCCAAGGAAAUGAAAUUCGCUGUGAGAUAGGCAUGCGUCCCAUUAGCUAGUUGGUGAGGUAACGGCUCACCAAGGCGACGAUGGGUAGGGGAACUGAGAGGUUGAACCCCCACACUGGUACUGAGACACGGACCAGACUCCUACGGGAGGCAGCAGUGAGGUAUAUUGGUCAAUGGGCGAGAGCCUGAACCAGCCAAGUCGCGUGAAGGAUGACUGUCUUAUGGAUUGUAAACUUCUUUUAUACGGGAAUAACAAGAGCCACGUGUGGCUCCCUGCAUGUACCGGAUGAAUAAGCAUCGGCUAACUCCGUG
rnacentral:rRNA from 1 species